rnacentral:Y_RNA from 1 species
UGGGCGAAUGCGGGUGGAACUACAUCUACCCCGGAAGUCGCGGGUUCGAUCCCCGUCGGUCCCGCUACCCAUAGGACCGUAGUUCAGUGGUAGAACACCGGGCAAGUUUCACCAACCCCUUGUCGCCCAAGC